rnacentral:lncRNA from 1 species
AACAAUGUAAACUCAACUCUAAAAUACUAAGGAAAAUAUUCACGAGAACCUAUUCUAAAUGAGAAAUUAUGCAAAGUUUCUCACAAUUUCAAGAAAAUAGAUUUUUCUUACUUUCACUUUAAACCAAUCAAGAAACAUAAGCAUGAAUGUAAUGCAUGAAGAGCCCUAGAGAUGCAUGUAAUAAUGUGAUUGUCUAAGCCCUAUUCAACAUGCUCUUAUUCUCUAAACUCUUCUAAUGCACUAUAUGAAAAUGUAU